rnacentral:rRNA from 1 species
UACGUAGGGGCCGAGCGUUGUCCGGAGUUAUUGGGCGUAAAGCGCUCGUAGGUGGUCAACUAAGUCAUACGUGAAAUCCCUCGGCUUAACCGGGGAACUGCGCCUGAUACUGGUUGACUUGAGUUUGGGAGAGGGACGCGGAAUUCCAGGUGUAGCGGUGAAAUGCGUAGAUAUCUGGAGGAACACCGGUGGCGAAGGCGGCGUCCUGGACCAAUACUGACACUGAGGAGCGAAAGCCAGGGGAGCAAACGGG